rnacentral:rRNA from 1 species
GAUGAACGCUGACAGAAUGCUUAACACAUGCAAGUCAACUUGAAUUUGGGUUUUUAACUUCGGUUUGGGUGGCGGACGGGUGAGUAACGCGUAAAGAACUUGCCUCACAGCUAGGGACAACAUUUGGAAACGAAUGCUAAUACCUAAUAUUAUGAUAAUAGGGCCUCCUAUAAUUAUGAAAGCUAUAAGCGCUGUGAGAGAGCUUUGCGUCCCAUUAGCUAGUUGGAGAGGUAACGGCUCACCAAGGCGAUGAUGGGUAGCCGGCCUGAGAGGGUGAUCGGCCGCAAGGGGACUGAGACACGGCCCUUACUCCUACGGGAGGCAGCAGUGGGGAAUAUGGGACAAUGGACCGAGAGUCUGAUCCAGCAAUUCUGUGUGCACGAUGAAGUUUUUCGGAAUGUAAAGUGCUUUCAGUUGGGAAGAAACAAAUGACGGUACCAACAGAAGAAGUGACGGCUAAAUACGUG